rnacentral:rRNA from 1 species
CCUACGGGGGGCUGCAGUGGGGAAUAUUGGACAAUGGGGGGAACCCUGAUCCAGCCAUGCCGCGUGUGUGAAGAAGGCCCUCGGGUUGUAAAGCACUUUCAGUGAGGAAGAACGCCUGGUGGUUAAUACCCAUCAGGAAAGACAUCACUCACAGAAGAAGCACCGGCUAACUCCGUGCCAGCAGCCGCGGGAAUACGGAGGGUGCGAGCGUUAAUCGGAAUUACUGGGCGUAAAGCGCGCGUAGGUGGCUUGAUAAGCCGGUUGUGAAAGCCCCGGGCUCAACCUGGGAACGGCAUCCGGAACUGUCAAGCUAGAGUGCAGGAGAGGAAGGUAGAAUUCCCGGUGUAGCGGUGAAAUGCGUAGAGAUCGGGAGGAAUACCAGUGGCGAAGGCGGCCUUCUGGACUGACACUGACACUGAGGUGCGAAAGCGUGGGUAGCAAACAGGAUUAGAUACCCGGGUAGUC